rnacentral:rRNA from 1 species
GACGAACGCUGGCGGCGUGCCUAAUACAUGCAAGUUGAGCGCUGAAGGUUGGUACUUGUACCAACUGGAUGAGCAGCGAACGGGUGAGUAACGCGUGGGGAAUCUGCCUUUGAGCGGGGGACAACAUUUGGAAACGAAUGCUAAUACCGCAUAAAAACUUUAAACACAAGUUUUAAGUUUGAAAGAUGCAAUUGCAUCACUCAAAGAUGAUCCCGCGUUGUAUUAGCUAGUUGGUGAGGUAAAGGCUCACCAAGGCGAUGAUACAUAGCCGACCUGAGAGGGUGAGCGGCCACAUUGGGACUGAGACACGGCCCAAACGCCUACGGGAGGCAGCAGUAGGGAAUCUUCGGCAAUGGACGAAAGUCUGACCGAGCAACGCCGCGUGAGUGAAGAAGGUUUUCGGAUCGUAAAACUCUGUUGGUAGAGAAGAACGUUGGUGAGAGUGGAAAGCUCAUCAAGUGACGGUAACUACCCAGAAAGGGACGGCUAACUACGUG